UCAAGUGACUCUACAACCUCGGCCUUCCAAAGUGCUGAUAUAGGCAUGAGCCACUGUACCUGACCAAGAUGAUUAUUUUGAGUUCUUUUACAGGUAACUCAUAGAUCUCUAUUUCCCUAGAGUUUGUGCAUUUGAUGAGCGGGUACCUUUUCCAGCCUUUAUAGACUGGCUACAGCAGGGAAAAUCCUGCACUAGUCAGUUUAUCUAGAGAUUCUGUGUGGGCCAUGUAACAGAAUCUCUAGAGAGAUGGCUUUGGUGUUUGGAUUAAUAGUUGAGCAGGUCUGACACCUGGAAAAACAGAAGCUGUCCAGGCACCAUGGUCUACUGCGGUGGACCUUUUGUCUGGGUCCGCAGAAGCAGGCCUGGAGGUGGGAUCCACAAAGACCAGCCUGAAGCCUGGAUCCAUAGCAGCCAGCUGGAAGCUGCAGUGGGUCUGGGACCUGGGUCCAUGAUAUAAUAGUAGGCUUGGGUCUUUGGUCCUGGAUCCACAAAGUCUGUCCUGGAGUCUGGAUCUAUAGCAGUGGUCCUGGAGCUUGGGUCCAUGGGGCCAGUCUGGUAUUGGAAUGUACUGUAGCAGUUCUGGACCCUGGGUUUGUUCAAGUAAAUCUGUAGUGUGGGAUUCCAGGGACUCUGGGGCCAUGGGAACCAGUCUGGAGCUAGGCAGACCUGGAGUCUGAGUCCAUGUGGGCCAGCCUGGAUCCUGGGCCAUGGAAUCUAGCCUGGUAUGAGAUUUCACUGAAAAAAUAUAGCAAAAUUCUUUAUGCCUACGGGUCCUGUCCACUGGAAGAGUUUAAUUGGCUCACUUCUUCAUUUUAAUGGAGGCAUAACCUAUGUACACUAUAGCACAUAUCUUAAUUAUAUAGCUUGGUAAAAUUUUACAUAUAAAUAAACUUGUGUAACUGCUUAUGAGAUCUAGAUAAGGAACAUCUCUGUUAGCUUAUUCUUAAAUUGAACUCUUGAUGUUUUUGGAGCAAAGUCUGUGCCCCCAGAUCCAGGUGAGGAACAAUAUAUCCCUUUCUGUAAGCUCUCUUCUUCCCCAAAAAGUGCUUUUUUAUGGCUUCUGAAUUUUGCAGGCCAUGAGUAUAUUGCCUACUUCAAGGGAAGCAGAUAUAGCGCUGUAGUCCAAAUCCUAUUCUGAAGCAGUGGACUUGGCCUCUGGUGUUCUAAGAUUUUUUGCCGAUGUGACUUUACUUUUUUUUUCUAAAGCAUAUUUAACUUAAUUGUUUUCAUUUUGUAUACAUAAUGACUAACAAAGUUGAAUAUCUUUUCUUGUGUUUAUUGGCUAUUUCAAUUUACUGCUCUGUGAAGUGUCUGCUCAAAUUAUUUGCCUAUUAUUGAAUGGUUGUCUCACAUUUCUUAUUGAUUUGUAAGGGUUCUUUCUAAUUUCUGGUACAGCCCUUCUUAAAGACUUGUGAUGCAAAUAUCUUCUUUAUGAUCUGCUCUGUUGGUGUCAAUUGCUAUUUUUAUGAUUUCCUAGGACACUUUUGGAGGCCACCUCUCAAUAAGCUUUGCAAAUAGCUCCUACUAGAGCAGUUAUUCCACUUUGUAGGAUCUUGUUUUUCAUUCUCCAUUAAACCAAUCCUGACCUAUUGAAAAUGAAGUGAGGCCAUUAAAUAUAAAUUGUGCUUGAUCCAAAAUGUAAUAUGUAAACAUUGCAUAUAACUUUUUGAAAUUAAACCUUACUAUGGCAUCAUGAAGAAUUAACAAUAGAUAAAGGAAUCUCAGCAAUGUUCCAUAAUGAAGUUUGUUUAUUCUAGAGUAAAAGAGAGUGAAUAAUCUAUGUAUUUAUAUGUUGUAAAGAUAUUGUAAAUAUGUCUGAGUUAGCAGGUAGACAUAUAACCAUUUUAAGGCAGGAGAACAGACCGCUAGAUGCUAUUGCAUUGUUCCUGCAUACCUUUGAUUCUAAGUGUUUUCGUAAAGGGAAACUAUAACUUAUGAGAAAUAAGACUUUAGAUCUAUAGAUUAUUUGUUUAAUAAAAUAGGAAGACAUAUCAGGAAGCUCAGCAUACCUCAUUUAAAUGGGCACUGGCCUCAAUAAAGAAACUAUUUUCUCUCAAAAUUCUAAUCCUUUUAAACAAUACAUUUUGUUAACCAACAAGAAUCAUCACAGUCCCUUCACUUUCUAUUUCUUAUUUGAAUGAUAUUGUAGUUGACCCUAAGAAAACUCAGAAUCUCUGUGUGGUAUAAGUAUUAAGAGGAAAAAGCAAAACAAACUUCAAUAUUUCACCCUUGUAUAUAAGGACUGAUGCCUAAUAUAGAUCAACAUCAUCUAAAGAAAGUUUGAAUAAUAUCAUAAUUUUUAGAAAAUUCCUCUCCCGAUCAGGAGUAUCAGACAGCUGUUAGUGUUUGUUAGUGUUUCUCUUGCUGUUCCACUUAGUGUUAUUGACUUUUGUGCUUCAACCUUUCCCUUUCCUGGAAUAUCUAACUCUCCUGCCAAUCUCAACAACCGGUGGAAAUCUGACUGAGGAGCUUUCUCUAAAUCUUGUGAUGGAAAUCUUCUCUAAUGAGGAGGCACAUUCUGCGUCAUUGAGAAUAAAGCUAUCAAUCAUAAAUAAUCCAUAACAAUAAAAUAAUAAAGAUAACAAUGUUUUUCCUUUAUCUCCCUGUUUUUGUGUUUUAGCAUCCCUGUAGGACUCAAUUUAAUGUUGAGGGAUAGGUAACAUUUCACUGAUUAUUUCUGUAUACCCACCAGUUCCCAAAGGGCUGUGAUGGAGGUUUACUACUUUAAAAUGCAAGGUACAAAGCAAAGGUCAUCAGCUUUUAUUCAAGGAAGUCUUUCAAAGUCAUUGAUAUAACAUCUAUUUCAGAUUGUCAUGAAUAUAUAUGGCACAUGAAAAGAAAGCAACCUCAAGAAUUAAAACCCAAGUUUUACUUUGGAUUCUUCUCCCAUAACGAGUAACAAGUACUUGAGAAAGUCAUUAAAACACUCUGGGCUUCACUUCACUCUCCUCAUUUUCAAGUUAAGGAUUUGGGAAAAAAAGAUUCCCUGAUAUUUUUUGCUUCAUUAUUUUCAGAUAAAGUUUAGUUUUAUAAAGUUAGAUUAAUAAAAAUUUAGGUUUUAAAGGAGAAAAUAAAAGAGCUAUAUCUAUUGGGAGAUAACCGGUUUUAAUGAUACUGUAGAUACAUUUUUCACCUACAUCAAUAUUGUUUUCACCUGCAAACAAUAUUGUUCUGUAAAGACGACACAAAUGGUAGAUGUCAGUUUAGAAGCCCACGUUUACCUGUGAAUAGAACAUACUGCUCUUUCUCAAAUUUGCAUCACUAGAUGGAGCCCUUGAGGGAAUACCAUCUCAGGAGAUGGAAUUUUGAGGAUUCACAUUAGAAAUGAAAGAUUCCAAGCCCCACACAAAUCCAAAGGGAAUUAAAGCUCUUCUCUUGAAGUUGAAUGCACUUUAAUUUGGCUUUGGAUAAACAGAGUGCCAAGCUGAGCUAAUGAUUUUCCCCAACUUCUACGACUGUUCUUCGUAUCCCUUUCAUACUGCUUUGAAGUAGACAGCUUUUAAAAUUUCCUAAACUGAAAUUCUAAUAGUCUUCCUGUCUAAAUUGUGUGAGUCAGGGCAAAGAAAAAAGUUGAAAAUACAAAGUAGAUAUUUGGAUAAGGCUAUAAUAUACUUGUAGAAACUCACAUAAGGGCUUAAGAGAAGACAGUAGAGGGAUAAUAAUGUGAAAUUCGUCUAUGUUUAUAAUAACUGUUGUUCUGUUCCCUGAUAAGACUACUUUUGUGUUACUUUAAAAAAUACUAGAGUCAUCAUCUGGUCACUUCUCCCUGCAGCUACUAUUAUUUCUGCAGUGUGCUCCUGUGCCCCACCACCGUCUCUCCACAUCUCAUUCUGAAUACUAUACAGCUCUCAACUUUCUCUUUGAUACUGACUAUCCUAUUUGUUUUCUAAUUUCUGGCUUUAUCUUGUAUAAAAGAUAGAAAUAAAAAGAUAAUUGGCCACAAUCUUGCCUCCUCUCUGUAAUAGCUCUGAUUCUUUUCUGCCAAUGUCUUCCUCCUGCAUGCCAAAGACGUGGCUGCCAAUGCUUUGGAUCCUGUCUCUGGUGUUAACCUUCUACUUGGCUGUCUUACCAACUCACUCUCACCCUCCGUAUACUAAUACAUGCUGUCAGUAUGUGGGAGGCAAUCUUUUCUUUCAUCCUGCUGUAAAUAUCCCAAAGAAGAAAUGCAUGCAUUCUAAGGAACACCUAUAUCAUUCAUCAUUAUCACUAAUAUUUAUUGAAUAUUUAUGAAUGUACCAAGAUAAGAACUUUAUAUGUGUAAUGUUAUUUAAUUAUCACAAAAUGAUAUGAGUUAAUUACUGUUUCUCUUUUAUAGACAAACAGAAUGAAUGCAGCUUAGAGAGGUUAAUUAGUUUGCUCUAAUUACACAGCCAGUAAGUGAUGAAGACAGAUUUUGAUACUGCAUCUGACUUCAAAACAUAAACACUUAUCCCCUGUGUUCUAUUACUUAAGGAAAGUUUUCUUCCUUGGGUGUAUUCUCUCAAUCAAGCCUUUCCCCUGCUUAUAAAAUAGUCUUUUUUAUUUUUGUAAUUUUUCAUAGACAAUUUGAUAAAGUAUCAAUUUCUACCAUUAGAAACUUUUUUUCGGAUAUGCAGCGUUUGGACAAGCAUAAGUCUUUAGAAAGUGAUUAAUUCAGUUCUCUCAGUUUUAAUAAUGCUGCAGGUCAAAAAGGUAAUAAAUGGAGGAGCCAAGUCCUGAGUUCAUGGAAAUCAUUGGAUUUGACCUUUUGUGUUUAUGUGAGAAGCAACAUUUUUUUUUUUUUUUACUUCCUAAUUUACUUCUGUGGAGGCAAGUUUGUCUUAAUUUUCCUUUCAAGGUGCUGUGAAAAAAUGCCAUUGUUCACCACAUGUUCUCUGGAUCCUCUAUACAACUUCUAACAUCUCACUUCCAACAUUUUUUGCUAAGGGCAUGCAUAAGGUGUCAUCCAUCUUUAUUUUUAAAUUUAAUAUCUAUGAACUGAAUUAAAUCUUACAUUAGAUAUUAUACAUUAAUGUGGGUCUCUCCAUUAUAGAUGCUUUCUCUGAUGCUCCUUUGUGACUCCUUUUCUACUGAGAAAUCAGAAAGUUCUCCUAGAUUCUUUCCCAAAAGAGUUUUUGGGUCAUCAGGCAAUUAUAUUUGUGUUAUCUUAACCUUUUGUUGUUUGUCAUUCUUGUCAUAGUUAAGGAAGACAGCAGAAUCCAUAUAUCAUUUGACAAUUGUUAGUAACAUAGAACACCAUGAAAUAGGUGGUAAAUCAUAUGAAGGAAAUGUUCCAGUAAAAGCCACCUCAAACUCCAGAGGUCAUUCCUGGGUAGCAGCAAUGCUGUUAUUGUUCUUUAUAAGCCAUAUAAGUGAGGAUCCCCAAAUUUCCCCAGCAGAGGGGGAAGUAUAAGUCUGAUUUAAAGAUGUUUUCUUUCUUUCUUUCAUCUACCUUGCUGGCUUUGAGCACAACCCAGGAAGAAGUUCAAAACCAAGAAAAUGGUGUUUGGCAAGACCAGGAUGCGCAAUGGCAAGAUAUUGGAUGGAGAAAUGGAAUCAGACGGAGGCAUCAUUGAGCUUAUUCUUCUUGACUCAUCUCAGUCCAAACAUUACUCUCUCAAGUGUUGUUCUUAAAAUCUGCAUAUUAAAAGGAGCCUCUCAAGAGGAAGAUGAAAAGACCCAAGCACCAUGUGAGCUGUUCUGAGUUCAAUUAAGUUAUUAAGAAUUGUUCUGAAUGAAUUCAAGGAACCUCUUGGUUACUGUUCUAAUAAAAAAUUUCUACAAGUUUUUGCUGUAAUGCAAAUAAUCAUGUUUAACCAUGAAAACUUUUUUUUUUCUCAACCAUUCUACUAUUAGAUUUUAGUUCCACAUUGUAGAAGAACAAAAGACCAAAAAAAAGUCCGGGUGCUGUAGUCCCAGCGCUUUGGG